rnacentral:misc_RNA from 1 species
AGGCAACCGCGCCUUGCCGGGCGACAGGCCCGGACGCUCGGCGGCGAAGGUCACUUCAAGUUCGGGCUGCUUGGCGAUGGCCCGCAACGCAGACGUCACCGCGCGCUUGAACGGCUCCGUCGGAGAUUCCUUCGACCCGGUCCUGAACUUGAUAUUCGACGUGCUCAUGCAACCUUUCCUCCCCGCUCAAAGGGGAGAGGCAAACCUAGCUCAACGCCACAUUGACCGCGGAUUCCGGCAGCUCCGCAUUGAAGCAGCGCUGAUAGAACUCCGCCACCAG